rnacentral:rRNA from 1 species
ACUAGUGACUAGCUCUCGCCUGGUUUCCCACUGAAACUAAGCAGGGUUGAUCCUGGUCAGUACGUGGAUGGGAGACCGCCUGGGGAAAACUAAGGUUGCUGCUGGAA